UAUCUCUCCUAUUUCUAACUUUGUUGUUGGUAUAGGGAAUUGGGGUCUUAUCGUCAAGCUUACGCUUGGUGAACCCUUUAAAUACAGUAAGCUCCCAUCAUUUGGAAAUACGCAACUUGGGGAUGGCGUCGUAGCUAAUCUUAACUGAUUUUAGUCGAAGCGCCUAUACGUACCUCUAACCGCGGUGUUAAUCCUUGCGACUGGGUGAAGCUUAUCGACUGGGCAAAGCGCCCUGCUCCCUUUUGUUUUACAUCUGGAGUAACCGAACAUUC
rnacentral:misc_RNA from 1 species